GACGAACGCUGGCGGCGUGCUUAACACAUGCAAGUCGAACGGAAAGGCCCUGCUUUUGUGGGGUGCUCGAGUGGCGAACGGGUGAGUCACACGUGAGUAACCUGCCCUUGACUUUGUGAUAACUUCAGGAAACUGGGGCUACUACCGGAUAGGAUCUCCUGCUGCAUGGUGGGGGUUGGAAAUUUUCGGCGGUUGGGGAUGGACUCGCGGCUUAUCAGCUUGUUGGGGGGGUAGUGGCUUACCAAGGCUUUGACGGGUAGCCGGCCUGAGAGGGGGACCGGACACAUUGGGACUGAGAUACGGCCCAGACUCCGACGGGAGGCAGCAGUGGGGAGGAUUGUACAAUGGGCGGGAGCCUGAUGCAGCAACGCCGCGUGCGGGAUGACGGCCUUCGGUUUGUAAACCGCUUUCGCCUGUGACGAAGCGUGAGUGACGGUAAUGGGUGAAGAAGCACCGGCUAACUACGUG
rnacentral:rRNA from 1 species